rnacentral:lncRNA from 1 species
GAUGACUGCACCUCCUGCUGACAUGCUGAUAGCAGCCGUGUGAAAGCCCAGAGCCAGAGGUCCCAGCUAAGCCACAUCCGGAUUCCUGACCCACAGAAACUGUGAGAUAGUAAAUGUACGUUGUUUUAAGCUGUUAAAUCUGGGGGUUAUUUUUUAUGCUGCAGAUAACUAAUACAUCUAAGUGUAAUUCCUAGCGCAAAGCUUCCCAGCAGGAGAACCAAGACACACUGGUAUGCGGAAUAUGGAUUACCGACGAGCCCAGGAGAUUGGUCCUUCAACCCCUGGGGCUGCCAGGAGCAGCCUCCCUUUCCCUGUUCCGUUCUGGCCCAACCAUUGCCUUCAGCUCCCUGGACACUGGAGGGAUGAGCCUUUCUGACCAGGAUUCCAAAGGAGCUGUACGUGGUCCGUCACUAGAGCAUCUCCAGCCAGUCCAGUCAUCUCCCAGCAUUAUUCUGUCCAAUCAGCUGGAAGAGGAUCUCAAUCUAAUGCUGUAUGGUCCAGCUGACUAUCAGAGCAUCCAGCAUUGCAUCAGCAACAAGGGUUAGGUGGGGUGGAUAAGGGAGGGGAUGGGAGCUGAGGGGGCAAUGUAGCUGACUGCCUUGAACAAGUCUCUCUUUCUGUAGACCUGCUUUUACUCUUUCUCCAGGAUGCAGUAAAAAAUAGCUAAUUAAAUUAUUUUUCUUGGGGACAAGGAUUGUGUCUUCAUUGAUAUCAUUCAUUGCCUGAACGUGUUAAAAAUUGUUACUUUCU